CAAAAGUAUGUCAACAAUUAUCUUGAUCCAUCAAUGGACAAGAGAAAGGGGGAGUGACACACAGCAAAGGGACCCGGACCAGGAGUCGAACCCAGGUCCGCUGCAAGAAGCCUGGGUACAUGGGACGCCUGCUCCACCAACUGAGCUAAACAGUGCCCCAGAAAUUAUUUUUGCUUUAAUGUAAGUCCGUGGCUGCAGUCACUCUGGUGUUUAUACAUCCCUGAAAAUCAGCGCUGCCCCUCCCUGCACACAGAACACAUGCUGUGUGUAGGGCCCCACGAUCCAUGGGGGGGCUCCAUUUUGCGCAAGAGGACGCAUUCUCUGCAAAUAAGCCAAGAAUGCACAUCGCUACAGUGAGAUGCAUGUAGAACACCAAGUCAGUCCGAGGCAGGAGAGAAGAAAAAAAGA